rnacentral:rRNA from 1 species
UACGGAGGGGGCUAGCGUUGUUCGGAAUUACUGGGCGUAAAGCGCACGUAGGCGGACCAGCAAGUUAGGGGUGAAAUCCCGGGGCUCAACCCCGGAACUGCCUUUAAAACUGUUGGUCUGGAGGUCGAGAGAGGUGAGUGGAAUUCCGAGUGUAGAGGUGAAAUUCGUAGAUAUUCGGAGGAGCACCAGUGGCGAAGGCGGCUCACUGGCUCGAUACUGACGCUGAGGUGCGAAAGCGUGGGGAGCAAACAGG